AUUCCAGCUCCAAUAGCGUAUAUUAAAGUUGUUGCAGUUAAAAAGCUCGUAGUUGGAUUUCUGGUGCAUUCCACUGGCCUAUUGGUUAACUCCAACUUGGCUCAUUUGGAAUACGCCAUCUUUAGGCAGACCCGUCGUGGCAUUAGGUUGUCGUGAUGGUUACGCCUAUCGUUUACUGUGAAGAAAUUAGGGUGUUCAAAGCAGGCUUAUGCCAUGAAUACGUUAGCAUGGAAUAAUGAGACAGGAUUUCGGUACUAUUUUGUUGGUUUGUGUACGGAAAUAAUGAUUAACAGGAACAGUGUUGUGGGUAUUCGUAUUUCGUUGUCAGAGGUGAAAUUCUUGGAUUUACGAAAGACGAACGACUGCGAAAGCAUUUACCAAGGAUGUUUUCAUCG
rnacentral:rRNA from 1 species